rnacentral:rRNA from 1 species
UUAAGCGACUAAGCGUACACGGUGGAUGCCCUGGCAGUCAGAGGCGAUGAAGGACGUGCUAAUCUGCGAAAAGCGUCGGUAAGGUGAUAUGAACCGUUACAGCCGGCGAUGUCCGAAUGGGGAAACCCAGUGCAAUUCGUUGCACUAUCGUUAACUGAAUACAUAGGUUAACGAGGCGAACCGGGGGAACUGAAACAUCUAAGUACCCCGAGGAAAAGAAAUCAACCGAGAUUCCCCCAGUAGCGGCGAGCGAACGGGGAGCAGCCCAGAGUCUGAAUCAGCUUGUGUGUUAGUGGAACGGUCUGGAAAGUCCGACGGUACAGGGUGAUAGUCCCGUACACCAAAAUGCACAGGUUGUGAACUCGAAGAGUAGGGCGGGACACGUGGUAUCCUGUCUGAAUAUGGGGGGACCAUCCUCCAAGGCUAAAUACUCCUGACUGACCGAUAGUGAACCAGUACCGUGAGGGAAAGGCGAAAAGAACCCCGGCGAGGGGAGUGAAAAAGAACCUGAAACCGUGUACGUACAAGCAGUGGGAGCACCUUCGGGUGUGACUGCGUACCUUUUUGUAUAAUGGGUCAGCGACUUAUAUUCUGUAGCAAGGUUAACCGUAUAGGGGAGCCGCAGGGAAACCGAGUCUUAACUGGGCGUUAAGUUGCAGGGUAUAGACCCGAAACCCGGUGAUCUAGCCAUGGGCAGGUUGAAGGUUGGGUAACACUAACUGGAGGACCGAACCGACUAAUGUUGAAAAUUAGCGGAUGACUUGUGGCUGGGGUGAAAGGCCAAUCAAACCGGGAGAUAGCUGGUUCUCCCCGAAAGCUAUUUAGGUAGCGCCUCGUGAACUCAUCUUCGGGGGUAGAGCACUGUUUCGGCUAGGGGGUCAUCCCGACUUACCAACCCGAUGCAAACUACGAAUACCGAAGAAUGUUAUCACGGGAGACACACGGCGGGUGCUAACGUCCGUCGUGAAGAGGGAAACAACCCAGACCGCCAGCUAAGGUCCCAAAGUCAUGGUUAAGUGGGAAACGAUGUGGGAAGGCACAGACAGCCAGGAUGUUGGCUUAGAAGCAGCCAUCAUUUAAAGAAAGCGUAAUAGCUCACUGGUCGAGUCGGCCUGCGCGGAAGAUGUAACGGGCUAAACCAUGCACCGAAGCUGCGGCAGCGACACUAUGUGUUGUUGGGUAGGGGAGCGUUCUGUAAGCCUGCGAAGGUGUGCUGUGAGGCAUGCUGGAGGUAUCAGAAGUGCGAAUGCUGACAUAAGUAACGAUAAAGCGGGUGAAAAGCCCGCUCGCCGGAAGACCAAGGGUUCCUGUCCAACGUUAAUCGGGCAGGGUGAGUCGACCCCAAGGCGAGGCCGAAAGGCGUAGUCGAUGGGAAACAGGUUAAUAUUCCUGUACUUGGUGUUACUGCGAAGGGGGGACGGAGAAGGCUAUGUUAGCCGGGCGACGGUUGUCCCGGUUUAAGCAUGUAGGCUGAUUGUCCAGGCAAAUCCGGAUAAUCAAGGCUGAGGUGUGAUGACGAGGCACUACGGUGCUGAAGUAACAAAUGCCCUGCUUCCAGGAAAAGCCUCUAAGCAUCAGGUAACAUUAAAUCGUACCCCAAACCGACACAGGUGGUCAGGUAGAGAAUACCAAGGCGCUUGAGAGAACUCGGGUGAAGGAACUAGGCAAAAUGGUGCCGUAACUUCGGGAGAAGGCACGCUGGUGUGUAGGUGAAGUCCCUGCGGAUGGAGCUGAGACCAGUCGAAGAUACCAGCUGGCUGCAACUGUUUAUUAAAAACACAGCACUGUGCAAACACGAAAGUGGACGUAUACGGUGUGACGCCUGCCCGGUGCCGGAAGGUUAAUUGAUGGGGUUAUCCGUAAGGAGAAGCUCUUGAUCGAAGCCCCGGUAAACGGCGGCCGUAACUAUAACGGUCCUAAGGUAGCGAAAUUCCUUGUCGGGUAAGUUCCGACCUGCACGAAUGGCGUAAUGAUGGCCAGGCUGUCUCCACCCGAGACUCAGUGAAAUUGAACUCGCUGUGAAGAUGCAGUGUACCCGCGGCAAGACGGAAAGACCCCGUGAACCUUUACUAUAGCUUGACACUGAACAUUGAGCCUUGAUGUAGGAUAGGUGGGAGGCUUUGAAGCGUGGACGCCAGUCUGCGUGGAGCCAACCUUGAAAUACCACCCUUUAAUGUUUGAUGUUCUAACGUUGGCCCCUGACCGGGGUUGCGGACAGUGUCUGGUGGGUAGUUUGACUGGGGCGGUCUCCUCCCAAAGCGUAACGGAGGAGCACGAAGGUUAGCUAAUCCUGGUCGGACAUCAGGAGGUUAGUGCAAUGGCAUAAGCUAGCUUGACUGCGAGCGUGACGGCGCGAGCAGGUGCGAAAGCAGGUCAUAGUGAUCCGGUGGUUCUGAAUGGAAGGGCCAUCGCUCAACGGAUAAAAGGUACCCGGGAUAACAGGCUGAUACCGCCCAAGAGUUCAUAUCGACGGCGGUGUUUGGCACCUCGAUGUCGGCUCAUCACAUCCUGGGGCUGAAGUAGGUCCCAAGGGUAUGGCUGUUCGCCAUUUAAAGUGGUACGCGAGCUGGGUUUAGAACGUCGUGAGACAGUUCGGUCCCUAUCUGCCGUGGGCGCUGGAGAAUUGAGGGGCUGCUCCUAGUACGAGAGGACCGGAGUGGACGCAUCACUGGUGUUCGGGUUGUCAUGCCAAUGGCACUGCCCGGUAGCUAAAUGCGGAAGAGAUAAGUGCUGAAAGCAUCUAAGCACGAAACUUGCCCCGAGAUGAGUUCUCCCUGAGACUAUAAGUCUCCUGAAGGAACGUUAAAGACGAUGACGUUGAUAGGCCGGGUGUAAGCGCAGCGAUGCGUUGAGCUAACCGGUAAUGAACCGUGAGGCUUAACCU